CUGGAUGUGCCACUGGGUGGAUUUCUGUUUUUCUGCUUCCAUUUCAGUAUUUUCCAAAAAGCAGUAAUGUUGCUGGAAAGAAGGAGAGCAGUGUAAGAGUUUUUGUUUGUUUGUUUUAUUGGUUGCAGUGAGGUCUGGCUCUGCCACCCAGGCUGCAGUGUAGUGGUAUGAUCAUAGCUCACUGCAACCUCGAACUCCUGGGCUCAAGCGAUCUUCCUGCCUCAGCCUGUCAAGUGCUUUUUUGAUAAAGAUUGAGUCUUCCUAUGUUGCCCAGCCUGGUCUCAAACUCCUGGGCUCAAGCAGUCCUCCCACCUCGGUCUCCCAAAGUACUGGGAUUACAGGCAUGAGCCACCGUGCCUGGCAGGAGACUCGUUUGAAGUUGAAUGAAACGAACAGAAUUUGGCGAUGGCUUAGUUGGGAAAGGAGAGGUUAGCAGGGAAGGGGCAGCUCCAGGAUGCCCUUAGGGGUGUCAACAUUUGUGCUGAACACAGGCCACUGUGGGAGGAGGCAUCGGCUUGACACAGCAAUCCUGUGGUGGAGGUGUUUGUAUUUUGAGGUUAUUAUUCUAUUGUUGAUUCUUGGAGCAAUAAGAAUCGAGAGAUUACCCAGAAGAAAUGGGCGGUGUAAUAAGAGGAGAGGGCUGGAGAACAAGCUGGGUGACUCCCAUGUUUACAGGCUUCUGGCCUCAGGGAAGGCCUGGAAAAAAGGAUGGGAAGAAGAUGGUGUUAGAAUCCAGGAGAAAGCUACCUCUAAGAAAGCAAAAAAGGCAGGCUCAUAGCAGACAAGUAACCUGAAUUGGGAAAGGGCCCAGUGGCCCCGGCAUUGGAGGGCAGCUGGUGUCUGCAGGGAGGGUGGCUUUGGCAGGAGCACAGGUGUGGUUGAGGCUGAGGUGACCAAAGUCAGAUUAACACGAACCCGAGGCACGUAGCACAGGGGGACGAGUGUGGGGGUUUCUUCCGGGCUGCUGCACAGGCCCUCCUCUUCCCAGACAGCAGCUGCUGAGUGUCAGGUGGGGGAAUAAAGGCCAGAGGCAGAGAUGCCGCUAAGCCCACAAACAGGUGCCCACGGGAUGCCUCCCAAAGUGUCGGGAUUACAGGCAUGAGCUACUGCUCCCGGCCAAUAGAUUAUAGAUAUAAUUCUUCUGUUAUUAAUUCUUUCACAAAACCCUGGCUGUACAUACUUCCUUCCUUCAUGAUCUCAACUUUCUGUAAAUUACAUGUGAAUG
rnacentral:lncRNA from 1 species